rnacentral:lncRNA from 1 species
CAAAAAUGAAAUUUUUUGGACUUCUAUUUGCUGAGCACUAAGUAAGUGUCAGGUGCUGCGUUAAGAACUUUAUGAAGAUUGUUUUUAUUUAGUUAUCACAAUAACUCUAAGGUUGGAAUUAUUUUCCCAUUUUACAUAUGAGGAAACAGCCACAGAAAAAAUAAGCAAAAAUCGAGGGUCACUCAACUAGUAAUCUGAAGGGUAGCAGGGAUCUGAGCCCACGUUUGCAUGGUGGCAAGGCGCAGGCUCUUAAUCACUGCACCCUGGUGUCCGUCUGUAGACUUCUAAGCAAGAUAAUUCUGCUUUGUUUGAUAUGUGAAAUAGACUGCCCAACUUCCUACAAUUCCUUCCUUUAAUAUCUUCACAGACACGUGAGGUUAUUUUCCUCCUUCCUGCCUGGGCCAUCCACUCUCCCGUCAGUUACUGUGCUUCAGUGUUUUUCGGUCUUCAGCUCUGUUUCAGCUGUGUUUUAAUCUUUACUUGCAUCAGGUAACUGCAGUAGUGCCUGACAUCUUGGAGCAACAAAGCAGAGGACUCCAGGCUAUGAGGGGAAAUUCUUUCUUAGUGUUUGGAAAAGCAAGUUUUCCAUAGCUUAAAUUUUGCAAUAACAGGAGGCCUUUUGAGUCCAAUGAAUAUGGCAACUCUUUGGAGAAAUAUAAAUUGAUCUCACAGUGCACAUUAUAAAAGCCCAUUUGUCUCUAAAUGGGUUCACGUGAGACAUAGUUUAUUCCACAGGUUAACUUUCUAAAUUAAACCCUUCUCUAAAGUCAAAACACUAAGAAGAACCAGGCUUCAUAAACGAAUAAAGGAUUUUUUCACUAAAUAACAAAAACAGCAUAAAGUUGAAAGGUCCACUGGGCAGAUCCAAAAUGUGGGAACAAUUCAUAAUUGAGGGCCUAAUGUUCCAUUUUUAAAAAAGUCUCUUUGAGGUAUCAUCAGACAAACUUAAAAAUUCUCCACCGCUGGCCAUUUCCAAGUACAGAUGCCAAUUUGACCACACAUUUUAAACAUGUGUCUGGAGAAUUUUAUGUAGCUCCUUUUACAAACUUAAAGAGAAAUAUAUUCUCUGUUACCAAGAAAAUUGGUCUAUUGGGAGGAUUUAGAAAUGGAAAAAAUGUAGAAAAUAAUCCGCAAGUAAAUACGAAGGCAGUUUCUAUUUGUAUCUAUGCCUGCGCUGGUUAUAAGUUAGGCUCUUUUGAAGACUACACAUACACAUUAAGCAUAAAUGCAUUUUGGAAGAAAGAUAAGAAGAAAGAAGCCAUCACUAGAGGAUGGCAUAAGAAGAAAUCAAAGCCAUCUCACUGAGCAGUUGUGGCUAAAGCGUAUCUUCAGCUAAGACUGCUAUGUGGUGAGCCCUGCCCUGUAAAAAGGCAUAUUGAUGGCCACUCAAAGGGACAAGAAAUCAUAAACCAAGAUGAUGAUGGUGGAGCUCAAUUGCAACCAGAGACGUAUGUUUUCCAUAUACACAUAGAAGAGAGAAUGGGAAUUUCAAAAUGAGCAAGGUCGACUGUUGUUGGAAGAUAAAAAUAACCCACUGCGACUGUGGACCAGACUUAUAGGAGUUGGUCCAUGACUAAGACCACAGGUUGGCAGUGGCAAAGGGCAUUCAGCCUGUAGGCACAAGGCCAUGCCCCCAGCACCACAGCUCCUGGAGUAGGAAGGGUGACUGAGGCAGUGACAGACACGGCCCAGAAAAAGAGGAAUGGAGGAUGGGUCAUAAUGUGGGCUCCAGAACAACUGUGUUCUCUCUUCACCAGCACCCCAGAGUCUGAAUGAUGCCUCUGAGUCUCAGAAAGGAUAAGGGGCCUGCUGCAAAGCGUUUAGUUCAUUGAUGGUGGAGCCAGGCUAGAACCCUGUCUCCUCACCCCCACUCUGAUGUUCCCUCCGUUGAACAACACCAACUCUCUGAAAUCAAUAGGCACAGAUCAACUAUUGGAAUGUCAUCAGGAACUAGUCUUCUGGAAACUGUAGGAAAUCUGAUAUGGAUAGAAGAGGAACUCACAGAUCAGAGCAUCUAUGUUGAGAGGACUAAGACUUGAAACGCUACUUCUGAAGCAUCAGUGAAAACAUGACUAAGUUUACAACAUGGAACUAUGAUGGGAGGAAGCUAUUGGUUCCUGAAUUAUUUCCAUGUUAGCGCUUCAUAUUCCUGAUGUAGCAUGAUCUUGGUAACCACCAACAGACCAAAGACUUCAUGUGCUGACUCUCAUGCCUUCCCACUUCACAGAGGAACUGCAGGCGUGAGUAACGUGGCUUUGAGAAUCCUACGACAAACAUUGGGAUUGGGAGUACAUGAAGGAUGCAAGAUAACAGACACCUAAAUCAUACAUCCAUCCCUGAGGCAUGCUCAGCACCUCCCUCCUCUACAUCCAUAGCCACUGGGUUGCUAAAUUCUAUCUGCCUCCUAGGAAAUCUUUUAAAUCAACCCCUCUUGCCUUUCUUGGAGUCACCACCAUGGUCUCUUGCUAGGAGUGUUUAACAGCCUCCUCACUGAGCUCCCUGACUCCCCUUUGUCCUCUUCCAUUUUAUUCUCUAUACUGUCCCAUAAUGAUCUUCCUAAAAUACACAUCAGCUCUUGCCUGAUAAUCUUCAACGUCCUGUGAUUGACCACAAGCUCCUUGCAGAAGAGCCUUUGACGUUGAAGGAAUCUAUCCAUCUGGGUUCUGUCAUUGACUGGUAUUUGCCCUAAAUGUCUCUUAG